UCGUGGGUUGCUCGGCAGGNAUUAAUGAAAUAUUGUCUCACUCUUCAGAUUCGUCAGCACUUUUUCAGUAAAUAACUUACUGAUUUUACCCAAUAUUACAGAUAUAACAACAACUGCGUUUGUCGGUUUCAACUACCUCAAGAUUACCGAAAAAGUCCAUCAAUUCACUCUUCACUACACGGAUGAAAUUAAAAUAAUCUCCGCCUUCAGCAAACUCAGCAAUACUUGUUCCCAAUGACCUUACUCCAUUGUAAUCAUGCAAGAUUACCAGGUGCUUGCCAACUCGCNUUCAUUUCAGAAUAGAGGAUCAACCGCUGGCCUGCGGUCAUUCCAUGAGCAACAAACGCCGCCAUAACCACAUCGAAACAAUUCUCAGGAAAGGGCAGCCCACCUGCUGUGGUUGCCUGGUUAAGGCGAAUACUCGCAUUUUCUCUCCGGUUUUUCGCUACUCGUAACAUCCCAAUGGAAUGAUCGACCGCAUAGGUUUCCAAGCCCAUUUCAGAAAAAACGGAUGCCAGAGCACCCGUUCCACAACCGACAUCUAAUAUGGAAGAGAAAUGAGAAAGAUUGCAAUGGUUCGUUAGCUUAAAAAUCCUGGCGUAGUUCUGACGUUGACGGUCAUAAAAGCGAUUGUAGUACGGCGAGAUCGUGUCAAACAGUUUUCUGGAUUUUUUUUCGGUCAUUUCUCCCCUAAGGUAGAUUUCAUUUUAACUGUGUUAUGGGAAGGGAACCUUCCAUCGUACUGUUUUCAAAUAAUUGCUUUACUGCGUUGCGUUCAAGUGACUUUCUUAAAACCAAGUGUUUCACCAAUAAUAUCUGGGCUUCGCUACUUGAAAAUCCAACCUCUUCCAUGGCAACAUCCAACCAGGAUUGGUAAGAGCGCACGCAUAGGAAAACCGGUCUGCCGGCCAACUCUGGAAUCGCGGCGGGCAGUGCCUUCAGUAGGUCCGCGGAGCUCAUUUCCGAGCUACUGAUGACUGAACCCAGAUUCCCU
rnacentral:rRNA from 1 species